rnacentral:rRNA from 1 species
AACGAACGCUGGCGGCAUGCCUAACACAUGCAAGUCGAACGAGACCUUCGGGUCUAGUGGCGCACGGGUGCGUAACGCGUGGGAAUCUACCCUCAGGUUCGGAAUAACUCAGAGAAAUUUGAGCUAAUACCGGAUGAUGACGUAAGUCCAAAGAUUUAUCGCCUGAGGAUGAGCCCGCUUAGGAUUAGGUAGUUGGUGAGGUAAAGGCUCACCAAGCCGACGAUCCUUAGCUGGUCUGAGAGGAUGAUCAGCCACACUGGGACUGAGACACGGCCCAGACUCCUACGGGAGGCAGCAGUGGGGAAUAUUGGACAAGGGGCGAAAGCCUGAUCCAGCAAUGCCGCGUGAGUGAUGAAGGCCUUAGGGUUGUAAAGCUCUUUUACCCGGGAUGAUAAUGACAGUACCGGGAGAAUAAGCUCCGGCUAACUCCGUG